GACGAACGCUGGCGGCGUGCCUAAUACAUGCAAGUUGAGCGCAGGAAACUGACGGAACUCUUCGGAGGGAAGGCAGCGGAAUGAGCGGCGGACGGGUGAGUAACACGUAAGGAACCUGCCUCAAGGAUUGGGAUAACUCCGAGAAAUCGGAGCUAAUACCGGAUAGUUCAACGGACCGCAUGGUCCGCUGAUGAAAGGCGCUCCGGCGUCACCUUGAGAUGGCCUUGCGGUGCAUUAACUAGUUGGUGGGGUAACGGCCCACCAAGGCGACGAUGCAUAGCCGACCUGAGAGGGUGAUCGGCCACACUGGGACUGAGACACGGCCCAGACUCCUACGGGAGGCAGCAGUAGGGAAUCUUCCACAAUGGACGAAGGUCUGAUGGAGCAACGCCGCGUGAGUGAUGAAGGUUUUCGGAUCGUAAAACUCUGUUGUAAGGGAAGAACACGUACGAGAGGGAAUGCUCGUACCUUGACGGUACCUUACGAGAAAGCCACGGCUAACUACGUGCCAGCCGCCGCGGUAAAAC
rnacentral:rRNA from 1 species